UCCUUGGUGGCUCAGAGGUUAAAGCGUCUGCCUGAAAUGCGGGAGACCCGGGUUUGAUCCCUGGGUCAGGAA
rnacentral:tRNA from 1 species